AUUGAACGCUGGCGGCAGGCCUAACACAUGCAAGUCGAGCGGGGGGCGACCGGGUAGGUAAGUUAUGGGAACCUGCCGGAUGGGGGGGGAUAACUACUGGAAACGGUGCCUAAUACGCCAUACUAUCGGAUGAACCAAUAUGGGAUUAGCGGGUAGGUGGGGUAAAGGCUCACCUAGGCGACGAUCUCUAGCUGGUCUGAGAGGAUGAUCAGCCACACUGGGACUGAGACACGGCCCAGACUCCUACGGGAGGCAGCAGUGGGGAAUAUUGCACAAUGGGCGCAAGCCUGAUGCAGCCAUGCCGCGUGUAUGAAGAAGGCCUUAGGGUUGUAAAGUACUUUCAGCGGGGAGGCGUUACCCGCAGAAGAAGCACCGGCUAACUCCGUGCCAGCAGCCGCGGUAAUAC
rnacentral:rRNA from 1 species